GUGCUCACUUCAGCGGCACAUAUACUAAAAUUGGAAGGAUACAGAGAGGAUUAGCAUGGCCCCUGAGCAAGGAUGACAUACAAGUUAGAACCCUUCGUU
rnacentral:snRNA from 1 species